AGAGUCUGAUCAUGGCUCAGAAUGAACGCUAGCUACAGGCUUAACACAUGCAAGUCGAGGGGCACCCUUGAGAUAGCUUGCUAUUUCAGAUGGCGACCGGCGCACGGGUGAGUAACGCGUAUCCAACCUGGCCCGUAGUAGGGAACAGCCCGGCGAAAGUCGGAUUAAUGCCCUAUGUUCUCCGAUGAAGACAUCUGAGUUGGAGCAAAGAUUCAUCGCUACGGGAUGGGGAUGCGUCUGAUUAGGUAGUAGGCGGGGUAACGGCCCACCUAGCCAACGAUCAGUAGGGGUUCUGAGAGGAAGGUCCCCCACAUUGGUACUGAGCCAGGAUCAAACUC
rnacentral:rRNA from 1 species